rnacentral:rRNA from 1 species
AUGCACGCUGGCGGCGUGCCUCAUACAUGCCAGUCGCGCGAACAGACGAGGAGCUUGCUCCUCUGACGUUAGCGGCGGACGGGUGAGUAACACGUGGAUAACCUACCUAUAAGACUGGGAUAACUUCGGGAAACCGGAGCUAAUACCGGAUAAUAUAUUGAACCGCAUGGUUCAAUAGUGAAAGACGGUUUUGCUGUCACUUAUAGAUGGAUCCGCGCCGCAUUAGCUAGUUGGUAAGGUAACGGCUUACCAAGGCGACGAUGCGUAGCCGACCUGAGAGGGUGAUCGGCCACACUGGAACUGAGACACGGUCCAGACUCCUACGGGAGGCAGCAGUAGGGAAUCUUCCGCAAUGGGCGAAAGCCUGACGGAGCAACGCCGCGUGAGUGAUGAAGGUCUUCGGAUCGUAAAACUCUGUUAUUAGGGAAGAACAAAUGUGUAAGUAACUAUGCACGUCUUGACGGUACCUAAUCAGAAAGCCACGGCUAACUACGUG